UAGUAUUCAAUUGUCAGAGGUGAAAUUCUUGGAUUUAUUGAAGACUAACUACUGCGAAAGCAUUUGCCAAGGAUGUUUUCAUUAAUCAAGAACGAAAGUUAGGGGAUCGAAGACGAUCAGAUACCGUCGUAGUCUUAACCAUAUACUAUGCCGACUAGGGAUCGGAUGAUGUUAAUUUUUUAAUGACUCA
rnacentral:rRNA from 1 species